CUAGUGUAGUUUCCAGUUCCAGUGGAGGAGCAUCAUGAAAUUAUACACAGAAUACAUUGCUUUUGGCUCCCAUGGGAGAUGGACCAGAACUAUGGUGGAUCCAGGAAGAUGAAGCAACACUAUAAAAGGUUUCUACUGAGAGGACAUCAACAGAAAGAUUUUAUACAACCACGUCACAACUGCCACCUGGUUGACAGCGACUGUAAGAUGUCGUCAAUUAUAAGAAACACCCAGUAUCUAAAGAUUUAACGUGUAAAAAAUGUGCACCAUACUCAGAUAUUAGCAAUAUUGGUAGUAUUACUUGUAUUAGGCAGAAUUCUAAUAUGGCGCUUGUAAUCCCCGCCCCCUGGUAUCCACUCCUUUGUGUAAUCUCCUCCCCUUGAGUGCAGGCAGAAUCUGUGACUUGUUUCUAACCCACAGAAUAUGGCAAAGGUGAAGGAUUUGGCAGUUUUAAUUAAAGUCCCUAACCGGCUGAUUGAAUUAAUGAAAAGGGAGGUUAUCCUGGGUGGGCCUACCCUAAUUAGAUGAGCCUCUUAAAAGAGGGUUGAGGACUCCCCUAAAGGAGACUUAGCAAGGAGAGAUGCUCUCCCAUUGGCCCUGAAGAAUCAAAAAGCCACACUGAACUGCCUAUGGAGUGGGCUGGUCUCUAGGAGUUGAGGGCCUCAGUCCUACAACUGUAAGGAACAGAAAUCUGCCACUGUGAGUGAGCUUGAAAGGAGGGGACCCUGAGCUCCAGAUGAGACCACAGCCUGGCCAACACCUUGACUGCAAACUUGUGAGCAGAGGACCAACCCAUUUGGGCUGUGCCUGGACUCCUGACCAACAGAAACUGAGACAUGAUAAAUGUGUGUUGUUUUAAGCUGCUAUGUUUAUGUGAGUUUGUUAUGCAGCAAUAGAAAAUCAAUAUAUUACUGAACCAUUACUACAGGUGAGACACUUCAUGAAAGGGGACUAACCAGAGCUUUUCAACCAGAAAAACCUCUAAAACAAAAGCAAACCGAAGUCAGCAGGCACCACUGUCACACAGACUGGUUUAUUGCAAGAGUCUGGCCACCUGUUACUGAAGGAGGCCCCAGAAGAGAGCCAACAGUAUGUGCUCACCUCGGCAAGGGCAUCCUCCAGGGCCGCAGUCACAUCCUGCGCCAGGGCCAUGGGGCAGCAGAGGCGCAGAUCAUUGAAGGCGACCAGAAUAUUGUUGAGGAAGCAGGCAAGGGGUGGGAAGUCUAAGAGCACCAUGGGCGGCUGCAGGGUCCCCGGCUGAGUGACUGGAACAGCAGCAGGCAGGUUACUGCUGCUCAGGAUGGCUGGAGCUGAGAUGAGGGUGUAGGAGUUCAUUUCAUCCUGGAACUUCUCGACCGUUUCCUGAAUUGCUUUCUGGAAAGUGCCGAUAGCCACUCGCUGGAAAACAGGAGCUAACUGACCCCGGAAAUCAGCCCCUACUCGGCUGAAAGACAGUCCAAAGUACAUGCACUGGCCCAGCAGAGAGUCCAGACGGCUGCCUAUCCCUCGGUUAAGGUCGGUCUCCAGCACCUGCAGGAAUUGUGAGACUUUCUGCAGCACCCAGCCGUGGAAGAUGGCACUCUCAUUCACGGUGUGCUCACCCAUGGCAGGGGGCAGCAACGGGUCCUCGUCUGAGAAGAUGGCACGGUACUGGGUGAUAAUAUCGAACAGAUGGACACGGCAGGCCUCAAUGGUUUUCGUGAUGUGGAAAUAGGGAUCAUCACUGGGGAUGGCAGUCAGGAUAGAACGGAGCCAAGCAUCUCGGGCCUGAAGAAACUUGACCCUCAACUCAGCCUCGGUGAAGACAUCCAUUUGCCGUAAGAAGCCAAUGACACGGAGGCAGGCAGGGAGCUGGAUGUUGGUCCUCAGUUGUUGGAUCAGCUGGCUCAGCAUCAGCUGCAUGGACUGGCGCACUUCGUUCACAAUGCCCUGACGACACAGGGGGUGAGUCACCACGCUGGGAAAGACACUCCCUGGAACCCAUUCCACUAACCCUGAAUACUGCAGACCAACAUUCCCACUGCUGUCCUGACAUACGAAGUAGAUUUCCUAAAACUGAUUCAUACAGGUUCACCAGCAAAGAUUUGGUUCACUGUGGCCUACAGGCCCUGCCUGGUUCUCCUGCCCUCACCUGCUUCCUAAUGCUCUCCCCUUGCUCACUGCAAUCCAGCCAGAAUGGCUAUCUUUAUACUUCAAACACUCCAACUGCUUCCCUCCUUAGCCUGCUAUACUUGUUUGUUCCACUUUCUGGUUUGCUCUCCCCCACAUCUUCAUGUGGUUGGCUCCUUCUCGUCAUCUGGGUCUCAGCUUAAAUGUUAUCUCACCAGAAGAGCCUUUCCUGACCACUCUCCCUAGAGUAACCCACCUUAGCCUCCUGCCCCAUUCCCUGGUUUAUUUUGUUAAGAUACUCAACUAUCUGAAAGGAUAUUAUUUAUUUAUUUGCCAACUAGCAGCUUAUGAGAGCCAAGGCCUUGUCUUUGUUCACAUUGUAUCCCCAGCACCUAUAUCAAUGCCUGGCACAAGAUUAAUAUUUAUCAGCUGACUGAAUAAUGAAUGUAUGUUUUAUGAUCAAGCCUGCCUGCCUUGCAGAAACUGAUGUGAAAAAUGCAAGGAGUUUCCCUAAGGUUUCUGCCUAAACGGUCAGUGAUGACCACAGAAUUACUGAUAACAAGAACAUCAGUUUGAGUCCUCUCUGGGCAAGUUGGCUACCUGGAUGACAGGGAUGGAGGAGUAUUUCCUUUCCAGUCGGCGUACGUAGGCUGCAAGCUCCAGGGCCUCUUCAUAAUAGCUGUUGCGGACACAGGUGUCCAUGAGCUGAGGGAUCUCCAGGAUUUCCAGGAUUUCUGUGUGCCGGUUUAGAGUCAGGGUGUUCAUUCGGCGAUUGGAGCUGAUCUCCUCAGCCUCUUUCACAAAAUUCCUAGUAACAAUCAGGAGUACAUUGGUGGUUCACUGCUCUGCAUCCAAACCUUAGCUACAAAUACCAAGCACUUACUAUGAACUGAGCACUGGGCUGAUUUAUCUGAUUUAAUCUUCACACCAACCCCAUUAGAUGAGUACUUUUACCCUUGAGGAAAUUUUAAUCCCAGAGAUUUUAAGUAACCUGUCCAAGAUCACACAACUAAUAAGUGAUAAAAAGAUUUGAACCCAAAUCUGCCACUUAACAAGCUGUGGCAAGGUACUUAGGCUCUCUGAACUGUUUCUUCAUUGGUAAAAUAGUAACAGGACCCACCUCAUAAGGAUGUGAGGAUUAAAUGAGAUGAUGUGUAUAAAGCACUUAACAUAGGACCUGAUAUGGAGUAUCAGGUAUAACAGCUAUUCUUAUAAUUUUCAUAAUGCCCUAACUAGCCUAGAACUACAGCCUUACCCCCAAGUUCCCUCAGCCUCUUAAUCUUCUCCUAUGCUAUGGUCCAACUUCAGUUCCUGCUAGUCUCCAUUUCUUUUCGGUAACUGCAGACACCUGCUUGUGAAGCCCUCCAUCUAUUCUAGGGGAUUGGAAGAGUAUGAAAGCUAUUCUCAAAUCUGCAAAGGCUCAAAAGAAAACUUAAACUUUUAUCACGAAAGACUGGAAGGCAGAAUUAGGGAUAAUGGAUUGAGGGUCGAGGGAGGGAGAAUAUGGGUCAAAAAGGAAGAUUUUUUUUUUUUUUUGGAUGAUGAUUUUUACUGUCCCUAAAUGGGAGGAUUUCCUUGUCAGCCUUCUAUCAAUGAACGGUUUAGAGCAGAUGACCUCUGGUCCAAGCUGUUGUGUGUACAUGUGUGUUGUGUGUUUGUUGUGUGUAUAGGUGUAUAUAAAGAUGCACAUAUAUUAAGCUGACAA